GUCAUACUUGGCUUGAGGGACUCAGACACCGGGAUAGUGCAGCCCCUGGAGGCCUCUGGGCAGGUGGCCUUCACCCAGCCUCCCACUGGGACGACAGGGAAGGAGAAAAGGCCCUCACCGAGGUGUGGCACCCUUGUCCAGGGAAUCAGCCGCCUGGACCUUUCCAGGAGUGACCCAGCGGACUAGGUGGCCACUGUGGCUCUGGGUGACACCCCCAGACUUCUGCAGUUUCCCCUUGCUUCUCCACGGUCGCUCUGGGCCAGGGCCCACCCUGAGCACACAUGUGGGCCACAGAAGCUGCUUCCUGGGAAGCCACCGGCUGAGGGGCAGCUCCCUGUCUGUCUGGGGUGGAAACGCCACGGUGACUGAGGCCCUGCGGAGCAUCACGGAGGACUCACGGGUCCUCUCCGUCCUCCCAGGGUGCUCCCGGCAGCUCCCAGAGGACAGGGCAGUGGCUGGAAGGUGUCUAUGCGAGGGAGCCCCAGCCCUGGCCAGAGCUGCUGAGCCCCCGCAGGUGAGCGCUCCACCCAGGGCCCCAGGCCGGUCCUCCACGCAGUGAACUCCAGGGGGUGGGCUGGGCACCCUGGGGGAGGAGCAGGUCUGUGGCCCUCAGCGGCAGGGGGGCGGCUCUGCCUUGCUGCUGGGCUGACCCUCACCCCAGUCCUGGCUCCUGGUCCUGUCCCCUGGGGCCCAGGGCAUCAAGCUUUGCUGCCAUCAGACUCCUGCGGCCCAAGUCCUGGGCGUCACCUGGUUCUGUAGACGUGAUUGUGGAGCUGUGUGAGCAUUUGACAGUAAUCACAAACAGGGAUCCCUGCAAAUCCAGUGAGCUGCACAGAGAGGUGCGCCAAGGGACCCGAAGACAACAGUGAACCCCG
rnacentral:lncRNA from 1 species